GGGGGGAGUCUUUUUAGGGCUGCACUCACGGCAUAUGGAGGUUCCCAAGCUAGGGGUUGAAUCGGAGCUACAGCUAUGGGCCUACACCACAGCCACAGCAACGCCAGAUCCAAGCCACGUCUGCGACCUACACCAUAGCUCACAGCAACACUGGAUCCUCAACCCACCAAGCAAGCCCAGGGAUCAAACCUGAGUCCUCAUGGAUACUAGUCAGAUUCAUUUCCACUGAGCCACGAUGGGAAUUCCAACAAAGAUAUUUCUUACCUCUCCAUUUCUUUGAGCAAAAUGAAGUCCAAACACAAGCCUGGGUGAGAGAUCUGCUCAUGGUAGCCAAGGCUUCCAGCCAACACAAGUGAAACUGCAGGUCUUUCUCUUUACUCAAAAACCCACCACAGUCACUCCUUUCCCAGACAUCGCCAUCGAAAAGCAAUGGAAGAAAAAUGUUGUCGGGAAGAAUGGAAAAUAAAGAGGAAUUGAGAAUACAGGAUGCUUUUACAGGGGAAAACAAUAUAUAACGUAUCUUUGAUUUCCCCCUACCCUCCUGAACUCUCUUCCAUUGCUUGUGCUCCUCAAUUGCAGCAUAAAAUCUGAUUUUUUUGGGGGGGAGGCCCACCCACUGCACAUGGAGGUUCCCAGGCUCGGGGUUGAAUCAUGGCUUUAGCCACCAGCCUACACCAUAGCCACAGUGACACCAGAUCCAAGUCACAUCUGCGACCUAUACCACAGCUCAUGGCAAUGUUGGAUCCUUAACCCACUGAGCAAGGCCAGGGAUCAAACCUGCAUCCUCCUGGAUGCUAGUCAGAUUCGUUUCCACUGAGCCACAACAGGAACUCCUGAUAUGGGAUCUUCAAACAGAUGAAAAACCAAUGUUCUAGAGCUAGAGAAGCUCCUCCUGCCCCCACACCCCAGAGGAGAUGAGGACCCAAUACAUGGUUAAGGUACAAGUCAGCUCUGCUCUCCUCCUAAGACCCAGCCUACAGUCCAGACCCAAGGCUUCAAGUACUCGGAAGGCAGCCAGGUGACACGGACAGCGAGACCCCUAUGUGGAUCAUGUGUUUGCAAGGUUCUGGGUCUCCAGGCCCUUCUCAGAUUCCUGGGCCCACUCUCUGUCUCCUCUCAGGCUGGGUCUUUUCUCUGAGGCUGCUGAUAAACUGAGCCCCUGUCUGGAUUACAAUAGGGGAGGGGUCUGAUUUUCAUGGGCACUGUGGCAGGCAGUGGUAAGACAGUGUCCUCUGACUCUCAAACCUCACCCUAAACAAAAGGAGGGGAGGCCCCACUGGGGAAAGGAGCAGAAUCCUGAGAGUGGCUCUCACCAUCCCUCCCCAUCUGGGCUUCACCCAAAGAGGCAUCCACCCCUGUGCCAAAUGAGACUGGGCGUCUCCUCCCCUGGGAUAAAGCCAGGGGACUCCCAAAGCAACUCCAGCUUCCCUUGGAGGCUGGAGGCUGAUGGGCUAUUUCCAUCUCCACACUCUCUCUUCCAACCUUCUCCUCUCCAAGGAGCUGGGAAAUCUCUUGGCACUGAGCUCUCCAGAAGAACCAGGUUGGUCUGUUCAGAGAAGCAAAGGCUUCCUGAGGCUCGACUUCCUAGAAGGGAAAUCCCUGUGUGCCCAGCCCCCAUGCGGUCAGCACUGCACUCAUAUCUGAUCUGAACCUGAACCCUCCCUUCCUAUUUUGCAUUGGUCUAGUGCUCUUCUGAACCGAUUUUCUAGCUGGUGCCCGGGCCCCAGUGGUCCACUGUGAGGGCAGAGCAGGGCUGUGGGAGUCGGGGAGGGAGAGGGCUGGGCCUCCACUCAUGAUCACACUGGACAGUCCUGACAUACUUGGAUGUGUGUUGUAUACUGUUAACCUCAAAUUGUUCAUAUAGAGACCCAGGCAUUUUCUUUGUGGGUUUUCUUUUGGUUUUGAUGGUCUAGAGAUGACAAAGGAAGAGGCCUCUUGCAGUGCAUAGACCAGACAAGUCAGGUUGCCACAUAUCUGGAAUUUGAUAUCAUACCACCCUGAGCAUAUCCUUCUGCAUAAUAAGGAUCAAUUGAUUUCUAGAGGUCUCCCAGUUCAUGAGAAAAGGUCAUUCGAAGUCAGAGGAUGCCUCUGAAAAGGACAGGCUUCACUUUUGUUUCUGACCUGUCACCUUCAUCCUCGGGUAGCAGAUACUGCGGAGCCGGCCUGUUUUAGAUGCUCCUUGUGCACUAAGAUAUGAGAGAUUGAGGGGAAUAGAGCAGUGGCCAAGGUUACAGGUCUAUUUUCCAACAGGGGGCCUGAUGGGGAGAGAAGAAUCAUCUCAGCCCUUCUUGUGCUGACAUGACACCAGCUGGGCUGUGAACACCAGUUACUGAAGGGUCACCAUCUGACUUUUUGACAUUAGAUAAGCGACUUGUGCCUCGAUGUCCUCGUCUACAUAAUGUAAGGGAUGGUCUAGACAAUCCCCAAUGUCCCUUCCAGAGCCAAGGCCCUCGACUUUUCUACAUAAGUCAGUAUGACUUAUCUAGGUGGUGGGCUUGCAGGGGAGGUCAUGCAGGCUCUUUCACAUCAGAACUUCUCUAAAAAGGAGUUCCCAUUGUGGCACAGUGGUUAACGAAUCUGACUAGAAACCACGAGGUUGCGGGUUCGGUCCCUGGCCUUGAUCGAUGGGUUAAGGACCCUGCAUUGCCAUGAGCUGUGGUGUAGGCUGCAGACGCGGCUCGGAUCCCACGUUGUUGUGGCUCUGGCAUAGGCCAGUGGCUACAGCUCCAAUUAGACCCCUAGCCUGGGAACCUCCAUAUGCCAUGGGAGUGGCCCAAGAAAUGGCAAAAAGACAAAAAAAAAAAAAAAACAGAACUUCUGUAAAGGGCCUGGUUUCUCUCAGGAGCAAAUGACCAAGGGCAGGUCCCAGCAGGCAACACACCUAGAAUGUUUUGCAAUCUCUGAGGAUGAGGCAGUAAAGCAUGCAGUUGUAACUCCUACUUUAGACCCUGUGGAAGGACUGGGACUAUGAGACUGCAAGGAAUGAUGGAAUUCCCAGAGCAACUUUGUUCUUGUUCCAGGGCAAAAUUACACCUAAUCCACCUCUACUCCAUUCUAAACAAGAUCCAAAAUGUAAGUCCUGGAGUUCUGGUUGUGGCUCAGUGGAAACGAAUCUGCCUAGUAUCCAUGAGGAUGCAGGUUUGAUCCCUGGCCUCGCUCACUGGGUUAAGGAUCCUGCAUUGCUGUGAGCUGUGGUGUAGGCACAGACACAGCUUGGAUCCCCCAUUGCUGUGGCUGUGGAGUAGGCCAGCAGCUGCAGCUCCGAUUCAACCCCUAGCCUGAGAACCUCCAUAUGCUACAGGGGUGCUGCCCUAAAAAGACAAAAAAAAAAAAGUAAGUCCUGAUCCUUAUGCCCACCACAUUAAUUGCAUCAGUGGCAUUUCAUCCCUUAUAGACUAAGGGCCAAAAUGAUUAACAUGAGAUUCAAGGGCUGCUGGCAUCUUCUGACCUCUUCCCAGCCCUCUAGCCUCAUCUUGCACCAUCCUCCCUUCCUCUCUGCUUCAGCCAAACAGAAGAACAUCUUCUGGUCCUUUCUGCCACGUGGCCUCUGCGUGAUCUAUUGAGUCUUCUUCUUCCUAUGCCUCCCCCUUGGGUUUCCCUCACUUCCACUCUUCAUCCUUCAGAUCUCAGCUCAACAAUUGCUUUCAUGGAAAAGUGACCUGGCCUCCCUGGGGAGUCAAGCUCUUCCCCUGGACAACCAUAGCAGCACACACCUCUCCUCCCAUAGAUUUACAUCAGCCUUGACUUCCCACAAUGUGGACGUGUCUUUGAGGCAGGUCUGUCUCUCCCUUGAGGCUGCGAACUUCUUGAGAGUAGGACCUUAAAGGUUUUUGUGCAGGCACUGCACUCCCAGGGCCCAGCCUAGAGCUUGUCACAUAGGAACCACUCAAUACAAUGCACCAGGUAAGCGAAUGCAUUUGGUGCUUGUGGCACUUAGACACACUUAGACAAGAUCCCUGCCAUUCGGAAUCUCACAGCCAUGAAACAGCAGGUAUGCAAUUGGCCAGACUAUGGGAUAUAACCUGAUACAAGAUGAGGCGAGAUGACUUAUUUCCAUUUCUUUUGUCAUGCUGAGCCCUCCUUAGCUCAUCCACACGAGCAUCAACCUGUUUAGUGUCCCUUGCUCCAGGAUGACCCCCCCAAGUUCCCCUGCCCCUAAUGCAACUUCCUCCUUCUUGUAGACAAAUUCUACCCUGUGUUGGUACAGCGCCUACUUGUUGACACCAUGGCCAUAAUGCUAAAUUUCAAAUAAUUGGGGCCACUUCAUCAGUACCUUGAUUUGAUUAAACCUGCUGAGUAACUGUGGUUCCUAUCAAGCACCCAUCAGGGCCUUCAUCUGCGGUUACAGAGACUCUCACUGUCAGGCGUGUCUGUGGCCACAUGCAGUGUGAACUGUCCCCGGCUCCGAGCUGCCUCGUGUGCGUAUUGACAGGCGUGAACCUCAGCAUGAACAAUCACUACACAGUGUACAUUUCCACGACCCAUUAGCACAGCGCAACCCCAAGCCUCUCUGUCCUCACUCUGCAGAUGCGGACGCUGACAUGCAGGCCAAACCUGGGGUCCCAGAGGCCUAAGGAUUCAGUGCGAUGGAACAGAACAGAUAAGCUGACCCUUAGCACCAGUGUGACUUUGGCUGGUCAUCUGUGUAUCUGUCCAUCAUGCUCCACCUGCUCAUUCACUCAACAAACACUUUUUGAGCACUUGUUCCAUAUCCACCACUGUGCUGGGCACGGAGGGCGUGUUGGCGCACAAAACGAAUGUGUCCCUACCUUUAGGGCCCACAGUUCGGGGAUAAGAGACAUUAAAAUAAAAAAGAACUGCUUUAAAAUAUAUGGACCACCGGCCCCACCCCCAUGUUAGAAAGGAGAAACCUGGCAGUGAGGAGGGAAUCCUAACCUCACUCAGGAGAAACUCAUGCUGAGCCCUGAAGGAUGGUGAGGACAUUUAUCCAGAGACAU
rnacentral:lncRNA from 1 species